UGAGUCCGAGGAGCUACGGCUCUUAAGUGAUACGAGUCAGACUUCCCAGAAAAGCCCGAACCACGUUAAUCUCUAAUUACCUGUACCCGAAACCGACACAGGUAGGAGGGUAGAGAAUACCAAGGGGCGCGAGAUAACUCUCUCUAAGGAACUCGGCAAAAUUACCCCGUAACUUUGGGAGAAGGGGUGCCACCGCAAGGUGGUCGCAGUGAAGAGGCCCAGGCGACUGUUUACCAAAAACACAGGUCUCCGCCAAGUCGCAAGACGCAGUAUGGGGGCUGACGCCUGCCCAGUGCCGGAAGGUUAAGGAAGUUGGUUAGUUUCGACGAAGCUAGCGACCGAAGCCCCGGUGAACGGCGGCCGUAACUAUAACGGUCCUAAGGUAGCGAAAUUCCUUGUCGGGUAAGUUCCGACCCGCACGAAAGGCGUAACGAUCUGGGCACUGUCUCGGAGAGAGGCUCGGCGAAAUAGGAUUGUCUGUGAAGAUACGGACUACCUGCACCUGGACAGAAAGACCCUAUGAAGCUUUACUGUAGCUUGGAAUUGGGUUCGGGCUUCCCUUGCGCAGCAUAGGUGGGAGGCGUUGAAGUUUUUCCUCGUGGGGAAAAUGGAGCCAACGGUGAGAUACCACUCUAGGGAGGCUAGAAUUCUAACUUAGACCCGUAAUCCGGGUUAAGGACAGUUUCAGGUGGGCAGUUUGUCUGGGGCGGUCGCCUCCUAAAAUGUAACGGAGGCGCCCAAAGGUUCCCUCAGUACGGUUGGAAAUCGUACGUAGAGUGUAAAGGCAAUAAGGGAGCUUGACUGCGACACCGACGGGUGGAGCAGGAACGAAAGUUGGGCUUAGUGAUCCGGCGGUUGCAAGUGGAAGCGCCGUCGCUCAACGGAUAAAAGGUACUCCGGGGAUAACAGGCUUAUCGCUUCCAAGAGUCCAUAUCGACGAAGCGGUUUGGCACCUCGAUGUCGGCUCGUCGCAUCCUGGGGCGGGAGUACGUCCCAAGGGUUGGGCUGUUCGCCCAUUAAAGCGGCACGCGAGCUGGGUUCAGAACGUCGUGAGACAGUUCGGUCCCUAUCUGAUGUGGGCGUUGGAGAAUUGAGAGGAUUUGUCCCUAGUACGAGAGGACCGGGAUGAACGUACCUCUGGUGUAGCUGUUGUCCUGCCAAGGGCACCGCAGCUUAGCUACGUACGGAACGGAUAACCGCUGAAGGCAUCUAAGCGGGAAGCCGUCCUCGAGAUGAAUUCUCCCAUCCUCUAGAAGGAGUAAGACCCCUGGUAGACCACCAGGUUGGUAGGCCGGCGGUGGAAGGGUGGCAACAUCCGUAGCUGACCGGUACUAAUGGGUCGAGGGCUUGACGGA
rnacentral:rRNA from 1 species